rnacentral:snoRNA from 1 species
UUCCUCGCUUAUAAGCCGGGGGAUUAGCCUGUGCUAUAUUCACUAGUAAAAUGCGAGGAAAAUUAUAGAGACAGUCAGACACCGGGCAAAUUUUGAUGUGUUCGGUCACUAUGUGUGUCCCACAAAU